CCUGGCUCCAGAACAUGACUUCAAGGCUCCAGGACAACCCUAUAAGAAUUCUCUCCUAAUGACUUUUCUUGAAGACCAUGUGGUUUUGACUAGACAACAAAGUGAGGACAAUUCUGAGUGCUGUCUCUGCCCCAAAGCCAGAUGAAACCUUUUUGGGGAGGCUGUGCAGGAAGGUGCUUACCUGACAGCACAGAAUUUUGAUCCUCUUUCCACUCUGGUCUCUAUGUUCACAGUAGAGUCUCACUAGGGCCUUUGUCAGGAACAAGUCAUCCUGCAUCUUUUGGUGGGACUUCGGAUCAUUCAGAUUUCUAUUUCAGUUAAGGA